rnacentral:sRNA from 1 species
AAUCAUCGACAUAAAGGGCCACUAUAAU